rnacentral:rRNA from 1 species
AUUGAACGCUGGCGGCAGGCCUAACACAUGCAAGUCGAACGGUAACAGGAAGCAUCUUGCUGCUUUUCUGGCGGGUGGCGGGCGGGUGAGUCAUGUCUGGGAAACUCCCUGAUGGAGGGGGAUAACUACUGGAAACGGUAGCUACUACCGCAUAACGUCGCAAGGCCAACAAGGGGGAACUUCGGGCCUCUUGCCAUCGGAUGCGCCCAGAUGGGGUUAGCUAGUAGGUGGGGUAACGGCUCACCUGGGGGACGGUCCCUAGCUGGUGUGAGAGGACGACCAGCCACACUGGAACGUAGACACGGACCAGACUCCUACGGGAGGCAGCAGUGGGGAAUAUUGCACAAUGGGGGCAAGCCUGAUGCAGCCAUGACGCGUGUAUGAAGAAGGCCUUCGGGGUGUAAAGUACUUUCAGCGGGGAGGAAGGGAGUAAAGUUAAUACCUUGGCUCAUUGACGUUACCCGCAGAAGAAGCACCGGCUAACUACGUG